GGCCGCGGCGCACGCGGGGCUCCGGACGCAGCCGCCCAGGGUCGCAGCCGUCCUGGCCUCCCAUUUCUCCCGGGACGAGCUGAGGUCACCGCCUUGGGCACAGGCGACUCCGGGUGCUUCAGGGGAGGAGGGCCAGCCGAGCAUUGGUGGACCCGACCCGGCGGCGGCGCCAGCCUCGAGCCGUGCCCUGCCCCCGAACCAAGCUUCUGGGAGCCCUGGGCGCGUUGGCCCUUCUGUCCCCCGCAGUUCUUAACGAACCCGUGGGAGGGAGAGCAGGGACUGUGGGUGACGUGCUCAUUUUAUAGGUGAGGCCUGUGAGGCACCUAGAGGCGAGGUGAUGCCCCCGAGGCCCAGAGCCCGCCCUGGAUGGAUCCGGAACCCAAAGUCAGCCGUAGAGUUCCUGAAUGUAUUUACAGGUGCCCAUUAGGUUGUGUAAACGAAGUGGCGGCAGGACUUGAGCGAUCAUCUGUUUCCCACAUCUCCCACAAACAGACCGCCAGAGAAGGGAAGUGACUUUCCCAAGGUCCUCCAGUUAAGUCCGUGGGGCCUUUUUCCAGUCCAGAUAAGAAAACUGAGGCAUGUAAAUGUGUCUCAUCACACCGUUAGUAAGGAGAGGAGCCACCCUUCAGACCCUGACUAUCCAGCUGUUACACCUGGCUCUUGGCUCCUGCUCGAGUUUUCCCCCGAAUCUCAUGGGACCCAGUGACCCUGCACGUGUAUAGCAGCCAUUUGCCUGGGUGGUGGCUGCCUUGCACAGGAGCACAGAGACAGAACUGCCUUCCUUCGACUCCCUCCACUGAAAAAAUAUUACAUGAGGCUUGCUGGUUACAAAACAGGAGAUUUUCUGUUGAAACUAUUCAUUUAAUUUCCAUUUCACUGGCUAUCUCUUGUACAACAGGGCUGGUACGAGAUGCCCAGAGAUACAAAAGUGAAUAAAACAACCCUGCCCUCAGGGGCCUUAUGGUUUAGUCAGGAAGAUAGGCAUAUAUCCAGACCAUUAAAACUUAAAAUCGAUGUAUGGGGAGUAAGUGUUGAGAUGUUCAACGUUUAUAGUCGCCUUACUGUUUACAAGAUGUUGUCACUCGAUUUUUGCCAUGUUCCUAUAAAGGAAUUAGGUCUGAGGUUCUUUUCUUUCCUAUUUUUUAGCUGAGGAGGCUGUACCCUAGUCAAGGUCAUAGUUCAUAAUGGUGAGGGGACCUUACCCAGCUGCUUUGACCUCUGACCCCAUGCUCUUCUCCAGUACACCAUGCCGCUUUCCCAUCUCAGGAUCUCCCAGUGCCUGGUAUGAAUGCUCCCAAAGUGAAUGGGAGCAAACAGCUGAGGAUAUCAGUGGCAUCCCUCUUAAUGUGUCAGAGCCUUUCUGACUCAGGAAAACUUUGACAGUAAUUUUGGAAAAACACGCAGAGCCUGUGGGAAAGGCACCUUCAUCCAAGAGGGGCACUUUGAUACCUUCCUUUUGAGCCUCUUAGAUUUUUUCAAAAUUGCAAUUUAAAUAUUCAGAAUUCAAAGAAUAAGCCAAGAAACUGAGUUGAGAAAAAGCAGUUGGAAUUAAUUUAUACCAGGGUUUCUCAACACAUCUGUGCUGGAUAAUUGUGGGGGCGGUCCUGUGCAUCGUAGGAUGUUUAACAACAUCCCUGGCCCCUGCCCACUAGAUGCCAGUAGCACUCUCCCCUAGUUGUGACAACC